rnacentral:rRNA from 1 species
AUCCUGGGGGUGGAGAAGCUCCCAAGGGUUUGGCUGUUCGCCAAUUAAAAAGUUACGUGAGCUGGGUUCAAACCGUCGUGAGACAGGUUAGUCUCCUAUCUACUGUGCCCGUUGAUUUUUGAGGGGAGUUCUCCCUAGUAAAUUUUGCUACUUCAUGGAGUAAUCCAUGAUGACAAUUUGGCUAAUAACGGUGGAACCUUCAUAAAUUUUCUGGUUGUAUUUAUCCACAGCCCAUAGGUCCGGGGUGUGGUAUCAUGAAGUUACUUGAGGACCAGAAAAUUUUUAAGGCAAUACCGUGGGAAGUCGAUCUAAAACUAAAAAGAACAAAUUAAAUUAUGCUUACAUUGCCGGAUUUUUAGACGGUGACGGCAGUUUGAUGCUGCAGAUUAAAAAACGCAGCGAUUCAAAGAAAGGCUGGCGAUUUAUGUCCACUAUCUGUUUUUAUCAGGAUAGCAGGCACGAUAAGCCGCUUUCAUGGAUCAAGAAAAUUCUUGGUAUUGGAUAUUUAUCGAAGCGAAACGAUGGAAUGACGGAAUUGCGGAUAAAUGGUUAUCGGCAAAUUCACGAUAUUCUCAAAAUUUUGCUUCCAUUUAUUCAAUUCAAGCGAGUUCAGGCAGAAGCGCUUUUGAAAGCAUCUGCUUUGCUUGCUAAAAAAUCUUUAGUUGGAUUUUCGCUUGAAGAACGGCAAAAAUUGUUAAAUUGGAUUUUGAUAAUCCAGUCCAAUAAUUAUGCCAGUCGGACGAAAACUACUAAAGAGAUUUUGGAAAAAGUUUUAGAUUUGACCCCGUAACGACUUGUUCCUGAUUUUUUAGUCAGGACGGACUCAUAUAAAUUGGAAAGCCGUGCAAUAAUAUGCCGGCAGAUUUAUGUGGGUAAUACGCCAACCCCCGCAGUUGCGGGGUGAAGAUAUAGUCUGUGCUCCUAGAAAUAGGGGGUAUACAUGACGAGAGGACCGGGAGGAGUUGACCUCUGGUCUACGAGCUCUGCCGCCAGGUGGAUCGCUCGGUAGCUAUGUCGAUAAGUGAUAAGCGCUGAAAGCAUCUAAGCGCGAAGCACGCCCCAAGAUUAGAAAUCGUUAUCAGACUCGUGGAAGAUGACCACGUUGAUAGGCUCUAGGUGUAAGCAUCGUAAGGUGUUCAGCCGAGGAGUACUAAUGUUCGAAUUGCUUUUUA